rnacentral:rRNA from 1 species
AGAAGGCUAUGUUGGCCGGGCGACGGUUGUCCCGGUUUAAGCGUGUAGGUGUGUGUUCCAGGUAAAUCCGGUUCACUUUAACACUGAGGCGUGAUGACGAGGCACUACGGUGCUGAAGCAACAAAUGCCCUGCUUCCAGGAAAAGCCUCUAAGCAUCAGGUAACAUCAAAUCGUACCCCAAACCGACACAGGUGGUCAGGUAGAGAAUACCAAGGCGCUUGAGAGAACUCGGGUGAAGGAACUAGGCAAAAUGGUGCCGUAACUUCGGGAGAAGGCACGCUGACACGUAGGUGAAGUGAUUUACUCAUGGAGCUGAAGUCAGUCGAAGAUACCAGCUGGCUGCAACUGUUUAUUAAAAACACAGCACUGUGCAAACACGAAAGUGGACGUAUACGGUGUGACGCCUGCCCGGUGCCGGAAGGUUAAUUGAUGGGGUCAGCGCAAGCGAAGCUCCUGAUCGAAGCCCCGGUAAACGGCGGCCGUAACUAUAACGGUCCUAAGGUAGCGAAAUUCCUUGUCGGGUAAGUUCCGACCUGCACGAAUGGCGUAAUGAUGGCCAGGCUGUCUCCACCCGAGACUCAGUGAAAUUGAACUCGCUGUGAAGAUGCAGUGUACCCGCGGCAAGACGGAAAGACCCCGUGAACCUUUACUAUAGCUUGACACUGAACAUUGAGCCUUGAUGUGUAGGAUAGGUGGGAGGCUUUGAAGUGUGGACGCCAGUCUGCAUGGAGCCGACCUUGAAAUACCACCCUUUAAUGUUUGAUGUUCUAACGUGGACCCGUAAUCCGGGUUGCGGACAGUGUCUGGUGGGUAGUUUGACUGGGGCGGUCUCCUCCUAAAGAGUAACGGAGGAGCACGAAGGUUGGCUAAUCCUGGUCGGACAUCAGGAGGUUAGUGCAAUGGCAUAAGCCAGCUUGACUGCGAGCGUGACGGCGCGAGCAGGUGCGAAAGCAGGUCAUAGUGAUCCGGUGGUUCUGAAUGGAAGGGCCAUCGCUCAACGGAUAAAAGGUACUCCGGGGAUAACAGGCUGAUACCGCCCAAGAGUUCAUAUCGACGGCGGUGUUUGGCACCUCGAUGUCGGCUCAUCACAUCCUGGGGCUGAAGUAGGUCCCAAGGGUAUGGCUGUUCGCCAUUUAAAGUGGUACGCGAGCUGGGUUUAGAACGUCGUGAGACAGUUCGGUCCCUAUCUGCCGUGGGCGCUGGAGAACUGAGGGGGGCUGCUCCUAGUACGAGAGGACCGGAGUGGACGCAUCACUGGUGUUCGGGUUGUCAUGCCAAUGGCACUGCCCGGUAGCUAAAUGCGGAAGAGAUAAGUGCUGAAAGCAUCUAAGCACGAAACUUGCCCCGA